rnacentral:rRNA from 1 species
GAUGAACGCUAGCGGCAGGCCUAACACAUGCAAGUCGCGGGGCAGCAUGUCCAGCUUGCUGGAUGAUGGCGACCGGCGCACGGGUGCGCAACGCGUAUGGAACCUGCCCUUUGCAGGGGAAUAGCCCAUGGAAACGUGGAUUAAUGCCCCAUAGUAUGUGAAUAUCGCCUGAUAUUUAUAUUAAAGGCUUCGGUCGGCAAAGGAUGGCCAUGCGUACCAUUAGCUAGUUGGUAAUUUAAAAGCUUACCAAGGCUACGAUGGUUAGGGGCCCUGAGAGGGGGAUCCCCCACACUGGUACUGAGACACGGACCAGACUCCUACGGGAGGCAGCAGUGAGGAAUAUUGGACAAUGGGCGAGAGCCUGAUCCAGCCAUGCCGCGUGCAGGAAGACGGCCCUAUGGGUCUUAAACUGCUUUUAUACGGGAAGAGCCGCACCCACGUGUGGGUGUCCGACGGUACCGUAAGAAUAAGGACCGGCUAACUCCG